rnacentral:tRNA from 1 species
GCGGGUGCACUGGGCAUGUGGUUGAGCCCAACGGCCUGUAGAGCCGCCGCCUCGGCUGUGGGGGUUCGACUCCCUCCGCCCGCA